GAUCUGCUCGAAGGCGUUGAGAUGUUGCUUAAUGUUUUGGGGUUUUUUUGUGAGGCCAAAGGCGUUCGGACUUCUGAGAAUGUAGAACUUUUUGUCAUUUUUAAAUCGAAAUGUGUGCAUAUUUUUUUAAAUUCCUGUUUAGAUUUUCGUUGAUGCGUCGUUUUGUUCAGUAGUCGAUUUUUUAGCCUUAUUUUUCAUAGCGAAAGCUUUUGCUCGCAAAUGACGUAUUUCUAUACUGUUGAGGGAAGGAAGAUCGUCUUUUAGAAUGUCGAUCAUGAAUUACUGUCUUUUUUGUUUUUAAUUUUUGAAGAUGGUGAAGUCUAGAUUAUCGUGUGGUCGAUCGGGGGAGAAGCUAACUUACUGACCAGUCAGCAGUAAAGUGAUGUGGUAGGAACAAGCGGAGUAUUCUGUCUGUAAUUUAGUUGCAGGUCGACGUAGCCGACAGAAGAUUGAAGCUUUUGAUUUAAAACGUUAGAGUAGCUUGAAGACAACGUAUGUUAAGUACAGUAGUUUUUUUUUUUAACUGAAAAUUGAAGGCAAGAUUGAAGAUUAACGAAACGUUGAGACGAUGUAAUUGAAAUGAGUUGCACUUCAAGAAACUGAAACAUUCAAAUAACGGUUGAAAUUGAAAGUAGAAGUUAUGGUUGAAUAUUUUUGAAGACUGAAGACUCGAGUAUAGGUUCGGUAAAGUGUUUAUGGAACAUCUGAAAAAACUAAGUUAAAGUUUAUUGAAAGGUUUAUAGGCAGAAUAGUUAAAUUAUGAAGACGUUCGUAUACAAAAAUGGAAAAGGCUGACUUGUAUGCUUGGAAAUGAAACGAAAAAGAUGCAUUUUAAACUUAGAAAAGUUAAUCGUGUAUUUAUGCAUUAUUUGCGAAGAUAGUGUGGUCAGUAUUUGUUCCUGUAGAACAAAAAUUGAUAAUGGCGAUUAUUUUCAUAAACUUGGGGGUCGUACGUACGUCAUCGCCCCUCGCGGAAUGAAGGUUUGGCUCGAGUACUUUUAGUGCGCUGCACGGUGGCUCCCGCAGGGGCAGCAAUGUAGGAGGCGAAAUGAUUAGAGCACCAUGUGCUACUUGCUCCAGUUUCUUGAGCUGCAUUGUUACAGGUGCCAGUUUAAAAAAAAAAAAAGCUUUGUUUUGAGAACGUUCCAGUUGGAUCGAAUUUUUUUUUUUUUUUUUUAAGAAGACGGGACUGUGUUGUUUUUAUUAAGGCUGUAAUUUGCAUGAUGGACUGAGUUAAUGCGGACGAAGGUUUUGCACAUCACGGGAAGACCAGGGAAGGCAGCGAGAGUUAGCGGAACGUGUGAGGAUCAGAAGAUGAGUGGAGAGGCAGUCCAGGGUGAAGCGGCGUCGAUCUACACGGUGGUCAACUAGUCCGGCCAAGGGUGAAGCGGUGUCCAGCAGCCAGGCGUGUCCUAGUCCAGACGAGGGUGAAGCGGUGUCCAGCAGCGAGGCCAUCUAGUCCAGACCAGGGUGAAGCGGCGAUCAAGCAGAGCAAGCAUCUAGUCCAGACCAGGGUGAAGCGGCGAUCAAGCAGAGCAAGCAUCUAGUCCAGACCAGGGUGGAGCGGUGACCUGCAGUGCAAGCAUCUAGUCCAGACCAGGGUGGAGCGGUGACCUGCAGAGCAAGCAAGCAGUCUAGUCCAGACCAGGGUGAAGCGGUGAUCAGCAGAGUGGCAAUGCCUAGCAGAGCCCAGGGUGAAACGUCUUGUAGUGAAGCCAUAGAUAUCUCCUCCUGUGUAUUUCUGAAUGGACAGUGGUUUCUGGUUUGUAUGGUAUAGGUAGUAAAAUUUACAUUCUGUUUACUGUAGUGUUGACAUUUUUAAUCUAGCGAGUAUACUUUUCAAGGAGUUUAUAAAUUAAUUUUGAAUAACCAUAAUCUCCUAAGGGUCAAACAUUAAAUGUUUUGACCUGGGGUUGUAAUAUACAGAGUAAUAAUUUAAAGUAUUUGCCAAGAGGCAAGUGCUUGAAUGGGAGUAACUAUUCCCGUUUUAUUUUACGUUUAACAUUAAAUUGGUGGGUGGUGUGGGGGGAAGUUAUGUUUGGGUACUUAGACUUUUGUUUUUUGUAUCAGGUAUACAAUGAGUGGCUGAAGUGAAGAGAAGGAAGACUUCCCUCCUGUACAAGUAGUUAAGUGGGUCCAUCCCGAUGAAGGCUCGAAAAUAUCUCCUUUGUUCUAAUCGUAAUGUCCGCAAGAAGCAAAUGGAGUGAACUCGAUUCAUUGGGUGAAUGUUUUCCAUUCUAGUCAGUUUAAUUUGCAAUUUAGUUUGAAGUGUAAAUAUGGGGGAGGGGGGCGUUAAAUUCUUUUCCUAGCUGUCUUUUUCCAGCUUUUCAAGAGUACACUGUUGAAAUGCGAUAAGUGAUGCAUCAGUAACAGGACAUCAUGAAUGAGGGAACGGCAGCUAAAUGUUCAGUCCCAACUUUUCUAACCAGGCAGUUGACCAUUGAGAUUCCAUAGCUUUGCCAGGUAUUGUGGAACUAGGAACCCCCUCAGAGGGGUCAGUUUUUAUUAAGUUUAGUUUAUUUAUAGUUUGAAAAGAGCAGAUACAAAUUUUAAGAUGUUAAUGUAUAAAUAAGUAUAUUUGUAUGUUUGGAUUAAUCUAGGUCUAUAGAUUUGGGCAAUAUGCAAAAUUCAUUUGAUUCAGGACUAAAGUCCCCUUUGUUAAGGUUUUUUGGGUUCUCUGCUGAUUUAACAUACUUGUAACUUUAAGUGAGGGUUUAAAACAGUUUUUUUGCAUGUCAGAAUGAAAUUGGCUAGUUGGCAGUGGGAGUGGGUUGGGGUGUGUUGUUUCUCUUUUUCAGUGUGUCCAGAAUAACGUGCAGAGGCAUCAGUUUGAGCAAAUGCCCCAAGGUGUGCACAUGGAGUUGAUUUGUAUACAAUUUAUCAUAAUCCUCAAUGAGUGGAAUUACUUUGGAAAGAGGUAUUCAUUUAACCCAGUUGUGUAUAUGUAAUGGUAAUUUCAAGUAGUCUGAAAUUGUUAAACUUUGGCUUGAUGAAACAGUGGAGCAGUCAAUACAUCUUGUAAUGUUUUAUUUAUUUAAUAAAUACUGUUUUGCAA